rnacentral:tRNA from 3 species
GGCCGGCUGGCCUAAUGGUAAGGCGUUGCUCUCCUAAAGCAAAGAUUCAGGGUUCGAGUCCCUGGUCGGUCG